UUUUUUUUUAAUUUAUAAUAUUUUUUUUCAAUUUUUUUGUUCUUUCUCAAAACCCAAUAAAAUAUUUUAAUUCAAAACUAUAUUACUAUUAUUCAUUGAAUUCUAAGAUACUUUAAGCGUCCAAACAAGCCCUUAGACCUUACCGGGCAAUGGUAAAAUCCGCUACAGCCCCAUAACAUAGCUGUUAGUCAGAUGUUGAUGUUGCUUUUUAAAACUAGGAGAACGAAUCGGUGAUCUCGAUCAUCACUUACCAUAUUCCAAUUCGUUGUCUUUUUCAACAUCACUAGGAGGUUUAGUUCGAGUUCUAUUGAUAAUCGACAUAAAUGAAUGAGCUGAAAGCUAGUUCAGUAGUUUCUGUUGUCUAAUCCUCUGAGGGGGGAUUAGGGGGUAACGUUCCUUUCUAAUCUAAUCUGUCAUCUAUGAGUUCCAGUCAAACCUAUAGCUCAAUGAAUGUAAUCUCAUAGCAAAAUCUGAUCUAUGUCAAGAUGGAUGGGUCUAAAUUUAUGGGGCAUGCUUCAAUUAACAGUAAUGUAAAUCAUGAUUUGAUAUCAGAAUCUGAAUUUAAACUCGUAGCAAAUAAAACACGACAAAAGGGGAAUAAACCCACAAAAUAUGAAGCACAACAAAACAAGAAAAUAAGGAUCACGACAUAAGAUGUACAUGCACUUGGAAACAGACUGGAAUGCCGCUCCCACCUUUGUUCCCACAGACUUCACCAAGCUUCUCUUGGAUUUUUCGUGGAUCAUUAGUGGACUUCGCAAGUGUUGGGUUCUAACCAUCUAACUAGUUGCUCUUUUAAUACACAAAUUGCUAACUAAAUCCAAACAUGACAGCGAUAUUGUAAUUUAGCUUCAUCCAUACGGUGAUUGAGUCAAGAGAAAAUUUAGAAAAUAUUAUACUAAAUAAUAACCCUACAACAUCAACUCUUCCAAGAAUCCCAAGAUAAGAGAUUUUCGAUAUAACUAGGAAGACAUUUCAAUACCACAGGAGUUACUGGACAUGCCAGUUUGAUAUAGCCCAUUUGGUAUCUUCGUGUCCAGAAUUAGUAGGGUUAAAUCUAGGGGUGUGCAAAAUUCCGAAGUGUUCGAUUCCGGCUGACUUCUGCUCCGAUUCCGACUUCGACGGAAUCGGAGGGUUCAGAAGUCGGAGUCGGAAUCGGAGCAGUUCCGACUCCAUAACGGAAGUCGGAAUCGGAAUCGGUAAACCGUAGGUUCCGAAUUCCGAUUCCGAUUCUGACUUUUUUUAAAAAAAAAACCCACGCCGUUUUGCAUCUGGUUUUUGUCUACCUGUUAAUUGGAACGGCGUCGUUCCAUUUAAAGAGAACGACACCGUUUGAACUUUGAAUCACGGCUAAAUGGCCAUAAGCAAUUUAGAGGUCUGUUCCUCACUCGAGUCCUCGACCGGUUGACCAUUUAGCCAUAAUUCUCCCCUCACGCAGCCUCGCUCCGACACACUGUCCUCAGCUGCUCAGCACUUAGCUCAGACUCAUCUCACCGAUGACACCACAGCCCCCCAUCGACUAUCGACCAUAGUCCGCCGUAAAUUGGCAGAGGUUGUCGUCGCCGCAGUGCCAAAUUGCAACCAAGAUAAUACAAUCGAUUUCAAGCUAUGGAGGAAGAACCAUAUGGGACCCCAGAACAAGAUCAGGAUGCCACAAUUCUGUCCCCAGCACCGAGAUCCAGACCCACUUCCAGAACACAAACUUCAUGUGCAAGUAGUCGAUUCCCACUCCCGGUAAACAUAGAAGAUGAGGAUACAUUUAAUGAUGAGGAGGAGAUGGGUAUUGGGGAUGAGCUGGAUGUACCACCACCUUCAUCCGCGAGGGCCAGACCACCACGUCCACGAUCAAAUAAAAAAAAGUCGUGGACGACGUGGAAACAUUUCACAAAGGUUGACGGUGAUCCCUCAGAACCGCACGCAGCUUGCAACCAUUGUGGCAUAGAAGUUGCAUGUCAUUCAAAGAAACAAGGCACUGCUGGUUUGAUAUCACAUCUAAAUAGUUGCCAGAGGUAUAAGAUAGCGAAAGGAUUGACGGCCCGAGAUCAGACAACGCUAAGUUAUGAAACUUCUACUACGACUGAUGGUACGCAAUCCAAGAAAAUGGUCAUCCCUCAAUACAGUGAGAAGAUGUUGAGAGAUGCGCUUGCCGAGAUGAUCAUUAAAGAUGAGAUGCCUUUUACUACAGUUGAGAAAAGAGGGUUCCGAAAGUUUAUCAAGCUUAUUGAGCCACGAUUUCCAUUGCCGUCACGGUAUACAGUGAUGCGAGAUUGUAUGAAAAGGCAUUUAAAAGAGAAGGCUGAGAUGAGACAAAUGUUUGUGACGACCGGCCAGAGAGUCUCAUUUACGACUGACACAUGGACGUCUAUACAGAAUGUUUCCUACAUGUGUAUUACAACACACUACAUUGACAGUUCAUGGACUUUAAAAAAAUGAAUUAUUGGAUUCAAAGAAAUAAAUGAUCAUAAGGGUGCAUCAAUUGGGGCAGCGAUGGAUGAUUGCUUGAAAGAUUGGGGAAUUCAGAAGGUUUUAUGCAUUACAGUUGACAAUGCCAGUGCUAAUGCUACUGCAAUUGAAUGGAUCAAGCGGAAUACGAGAGUGAGAGAUGAUGUCAUCCGGGACCAUGAGUUUAUCCAUAUUCGUUGUUAUGCUCACAUAAUCAACCUGAUUGUGACUGAGGGGUUAAAAGAGGUUGACGAUUCCAUUACAAAAGUCCGCAACAUUGUGCGGUAUGUGAGGGCUUCCCCGCAAAGGCUGAAAAAAUUCAGGACAAUAGAAGAACUUGGGAUAAAACAUUCUCGGACGCUGUGCUUGGACGUUCUCACUCGAUGGAACUAUACAUACAUGAUGUUGGAUGUGGCACAGAAGUACCAAAAAGUGUUUGAGCGGAUGGAGGUGGAAGAUGGGGGUCUUAAGUAUGUUUUGCUGGAGCCUGCAGGAAAGGGGUUCGGUUCGCCGGACACACAUGAUUGGACGAGUGUAGGAUUCUUUAUUACAUUUUUGCAGAUUUUUUAUUAUAUUACAAUGAAAAUAUCUGGAUCCGCAUACACGACUGCAAACUUGUGGUUCAGUCAGAUCUCGACACUACACCACCACUUGGAAGAUGGUUGUGAUAACCCUAAUGGAUUGUUAUCUGGUAUGGCUCAGAGGAUGUUGUCCAAAUAUAAUAAAUCUUGGGGGCAAAUUGAGAAGAUAAAUAAAUUACUUUGUGGCUGUGAUCCUUGACCCCCAAAUCAAGUUGGCCGUGAUAGAAUAUUAGGCAAAUUCCGUCCUCGGGGCAAUGAAGGUUGCAUCGUUUAUUACAGCGCUGAAAACUGAUCUCGAUGACUUGUACAACCACUACAAAAAAAUAGUGGACAGCCUUCAUCUUCAGCGGGGUACCUCACACGUGACUCCGACACCUCACUCUGAUGACUUUAGCCCGACUGACACAUUGCCUCGACGCCGUAGGAAUUACGACAUCAUGAAUUAGUAUAAUCAGCUCGUUGCAUCGAAGAAUAUUAUACGGUGUACUUCAGAGGUUGAACGGUAUUUUAUGAAAGAAGUCGAGGCACCUAGUCCUGCAUUUGAGAUAUGCAUUUGGUGAAAGGCUAAUUCCAUCAAGUAUCCAAUCCUUUCCCGUAUUGCCCGAGAUAUGCUAGCCAUUCUUAUUACAACGGUUGCAUCUGAGUCGGCGUUUAGCACUGGAGGUCGAGUCUUGGAUGCUUUCCGGAGUUCUUUGUCACUGUCAACUGUGGAGGCCCUCGUUUGCACAAAGAACUGGAUCAGUGAUACACCCCUUGGACUAGAUAGCAUUGACAUUAAUGAUGAGAGCUAUAGGUUUGAAGAUGAUGUAAUUGUGAACCCCAAUAUAGUUGCCGAUAAAUGGAGUAUGGAUAAAGAUAAGUUGAUAUUAGAAUUAACUUAAUCUUUAUUGGUAUUAAUGGUAAUUAAAUUUUA